UACGUAGGGGGCAAGCGUUGUCCGGAAUCAUUGGGCGUAAAGGGCGUGUAGGCGGCUCGAUAAGUCCGCUGUGAAAGUCCAGGGCUCAACCCUGGAAGGCCGGUGGAAACUGUCGGGCUAGAGUCCGGAAGAGGCGAGUGGAAUUCCCGGUGUAGCGGUGAAAUGCGCAGAUAUCGGGAGGAACACCAAUGGCGAAGGCAGCUCGCUGGGACGGUACUGACGCUGAGACGCGAAAGCGUGGGGAGCGAACAGG
rnacentral:rRNA from 1 species